AACGAGGGCAGAAAGCUCCUGAAGAAAGCUCGCAACAAAAUUUGUAUCAUCGUUUACCCACUGUGCUUUCAAGUUGGCGAAAGUUUGUGCAACAACCUAGCAAAGUAAAGCAGCAGGUAUUUCAAGCUUGCAACUAUUCCCUGCAAAUGUAAACUUGGGCUCCAAUAUGAGCCUCUUUGUGGGGACAAAAAAGAUGGCCUUCAUAAGAAGCCCCAGAAAAAGGAAGGAAGUCAUUCUCUGGCGUGUCGUCCGCUCUGACAGCAAUAGAAUUUCGAAGUGGCGUUACGUGUUCGGAGAAGGAGCCAUGACAUCUCCUACUAAAGGAGUUUCAAUACACUGACGACGCCAGAAUGACGCAACGUAAUCAUGGGCCCCUUGAAUGCUUUCGAAGGGAGAACAUUCUCGGGAGGACCACCUCGAGACUCGACCUCAUCAAGAAUCGGGAUGAGGCGAUUACCUCAUCUGAGGCAAUUACCUCAUCUUCAGCGGUGCUUGCCAGGAAUCCGAUGUCGCUCGCACCUGACUCGAGCAUGAGGUGGAGAACCUGUCUGGAAUGAAAGCAGGACGCUUUUCUUUCGAAAGGCUGAAGA